AUCCCGGUAGCUUAAGCUUUAAAGCAUUAGACUUGUAAACCAAAGAAUGGUCUAACCCCUAGGCU
rnacentral:tRNA from 1 species